rnacentral:rRNA from 1 species
UACGUAGGGAGCAAGCGUUUGUCCGGAAUCAUUGGGCGUAAAGCGCGCGUAGGCGGCCUCGUAAGUCCGUUGUGAAAGUCAAAGGCUCAACCUUUGAAAGCCGAUGGAUACUGUGAGGCUAGAGUCCGGAAGAGGCGAAGUGGAAUUCCUGGUGUAGCGGUGGAAUGCGCAGAUAUCGGGAGGAACACCAAUGGCGAAGGCAGCUUGCUUGGGACGGUACGU